rfam:Macaca mulatta chromosome 13, whole genome shotgun sequence.
GCCGGGCGUGGUGGUGGGCACCUGUAGUCCCAGCUACUUGGGAGGCUGAGGCAGGAGAAUCACUUGAACCCGGGAGGUGGAGGUUCCAGUGAGCCAAGAGUGUGCCACUGCACUCCAGCCUGGGUGACAGAGUGAGACUCUGUCUCAU